rnacentral:rRNA from 1 species
CCCUGAUCCAGCAAUGCCGCGUGAGUGAAGAAGGCCUUCGGGUUGUAAAGCUCUUUUGUCAGGGAAGAAACGGUGGUCUCUAAUAUAGGCUGCUAAUGACGGUACCUGAAGAAUAAGCACCGGCUAACUACGUGCCAGCAGCCGCGGUAAUACGUAGGGUGCAAGCGUUAAUCGGAAUUACUGGGCGUAAAGCGUGCGCAGGCGGUUAUAUAAGUCAGAUGUGAAAUCCCCGGGCUCAACCUGGGAACUGCAUUUGAGACUGUAUGGCUAGAGUGUGUCAGAGGGGGGUAGAAUUCCACGUGUAGCAGUGAAAUGCGUAGAUAUGUGGAGGAAUACCGAUGGCGAAGGCAGCCCCCUGGGAUAACACUGACGCUCAUGCACGAAAGCGUGGGGAGCAAACAGGAUUAGAUACCCUGGUAGUCCACGCCCUAAACGAUGUCUACUAGUUGUCGGGUCUUAAUUGACUUGGUAACGCAGCUAACGCGUGAAGUAGACCGCCUGGGGAGUACGGUCGCAAGAUUA